rnacentral:lncRNA from 1 species
CCUAGGGAUGAUUCUUCAAUGAGUAUUUCUCCUUCAUUUGCAACCAUGGUGUCUUUGAAUGAAUUAUUCUGUUUCUCCAGAAAAUUGUCUCAAGUCAUCAACUCAUAUUAACUGUCAGGACUUCCUUGCCUUCUCCUUGCAAUGUUAUGUGAAAUCUGAGGAAGAGUACUUUGAAAAAUAUUAAAUUGGGUUAUUCUCCCUUAUAAAUGAGGAGCAAAAUUUUUACCUUUAUGUUGAAUAAAGUGAAUAAAAACCUUGUCGUGUGAAAAUGAAAAAGAACCUUCACGCUGUGUUCUAGAUCUGUCUGGAACAUGCCUCUGAAUCCUAAGACAGGUCAG